rnacentral:misc_RNA from 1 species
CUGCUUUAGAUGACUAGGCGUAUUAGUUUCCCAUUCGGGAAUCCACUCGUGCGCCGGUGUAUUGGUCUCUUUAGCCUUUGUGUUGGUUGAUCGCUAUGCUUUUUUAAAUGUUCUUUUGAGCGUUUACUUAGUUCGGCUUGCGGUUAGCUACCGAACUUGAUCUUGAUCUCAAAUCAGGCAAGACUACCCGCUGAAUUUAA